UACGGAGGGUGCGAGCGUUGUUCGGAAUCACUGGGCGUAAAGGGCGUGUAGGCGGUCCGCUAAGUCUGAUGUGAAAGCCCGGGGCUCACCCCCGGAAGUGCAUUGGAAACUGGCGAACUCGAGUCCCGGAGAGGAGAGUGGAAUUCCUGGUGUAGCGGUGAAAUGCGUAGAGAUCGGGAGGAACAUCAGUGGCGAAGGCGGCCAUCUGGGACAACACUGACGCUGAAGCACGAAAGCGUGGGGAGCAAACAGG
rnacentral:rRNA from 1 species